UGAUCAAAUCCAAAAAAGCCCAAGGGACCUUAUUAUAGAUUUGAUCACGCCCGAGCAAAAUUUUUAUCUCAUAAUAUUUGAAGAAUGAUUCCUUUUAACUUAUAUUUAUGUAAUUUUAAGCCAGUGUACAGUUAAAUAAUUAAAUAUUAAUAAGUCACUCCCCCUCCCCCGGGCACCCCAAUUAUACGUCAUUUGAAGUUAUUGGAAUGUAUAAUACAACAUCGAUACGUAGUGUUAUCACAGGCAACUACAUUGAAAAAAAAGUAAGUAUAAAGUGAUAAAAUACCGUCUGAUGUGAUUAAAUUUAUCAAUACGUCCUUCAGGCUUUAUUUGAUUUCAUCACACCAUUAAUAUUCAUAAAUAAGGAUUUAAUAUUCAUUAAAUGCUUACGAUUUUUGUGAGAUUUGUGUGUGCUUAAAGCAUAGUUUGAUUGUUUGUUUGCUUGUUUGUUUGUUUGUUUUUUUUUUUUUUUUUUUUUUUUUUUUUUUUUCUAUAAGUUUAUAUCUGAUAUUACUCUUGUUAUAUUCAAUGUAUUAAAUAACGAAUUUUUAACGUAACAUGAAAGUGCGUCACGAUAUCAGGUUCAUAUAUUGUAAAACAAAAACUAAUAAACCAUAAAAAC
rnacentral:sRNA from 1 species